GGGGAAUAUUGCGCAAUGGGGGAAACCCUGACGCAGCAAUACCGCGUGAGUGAAGAAGGUUUUCGGAUCGUAAAGCUCUGUUAUUGGGGAAGAAGAAAAGACGGUACCCAAGAAGAAAGUCCCGGCUAACUACGUGCCAGCAGCCGCGGUAAUACGUAGGUGGCAAGCGUUGUCCGGAUUUACUGGGCGUAAAGCGUAUGUAGGCGGACAUUUAAGUCAGAUGUGAAAUCCCCGGGCUUAACCUGGGAGGCUGCAUUUGAUACUGGGUGUCUAGAGUGUAGGAGAGGCAAGUGGAAUUCCUAGUGUAGCGGUGAAAUGCGUAGAGAUUAGGAAGAACACCAGUGGCGAAGGCGACUUUCUGGACUAUAACUGACGCUGAGAUACGAAAGCGUGGGGAGCAAACA
rnacentral:rRNA from 2 species